CAAUAGCGUAUAUUAAAGUUGUUGCAGUUAGAACGCUCGUAGUCGGAUUUCGGGGCGUUCCGACCGGUCUGCCGAUGGGUAUGCACUGGCCGGAGUGUCCUUUUUGCCGGAGACCGUGCCUACUCUUAACUGAGCGGGGGCGGGAGACGUCACUUUUACUUUGAAAAAAUCAGAGUGUUUCAAGCAGGCAGCUCGCUCUUGCAUGGAUUAGCAUGGGAUAAUGAAAUAGGACUUUGGUGCUAUUUUGUUGGUUUCGAACACCGAAGUAAUGAUGAGAAGGGACAGUCAGGGGCACUCGUAUUCCGCAGAGAGAGGUGAAAUUCUCAGACCCGCGGAAGACGAACCACUGCGAAAGCAUUUGCCAGGGAUGUUUUCACUGA
rnacentral:rRNA from 1 species